GAGCGCGGCUCCCCGGGCCGCUGCGGGCAGCCAGGGGAGGGAGGGCCCUGCGGCCGGUGACUUCAUGAGGAGGAGGCGGCGGCGGCGGGAGGUGGGUCUCGCUUUCCUCUCCCGGUGCCGUCUGCAGGGCGGGCGAGAGGCGGCCGCUGCGCCGGGCAGCGCGGGCGGGGGACAGCGGUGACGGAAAGCGGCAGCUGGGGGGGGACGGCGGCGCUGGGUUGACUCCCUUCCCCCUCCCGGCCGGAGGAAGAUGGAGCUCGGUUAGUGAGGGCUUGCGGGAGGAGCAGCGGGAGCAGGUAAGACAGUGAAGUCUUUAACUGCUCCAGAAGAAGAGGGUCUGGAAAGAAAAUGUCUCUGGCAAAAAAGUAUCAGAUUUCUCAGGGGACAAACUUUUGCUUAUUCAUACCUUCUACUGUGGCAAAAAUGGAUUCUUUUCCUCACCAAAAACCAGCAGCAUAACACCCAUCCAACACCUGCCUCAAGGAACUCUUAUUUAAAGUGUAUUUUUAUUUCCCUGUAGCUGUGGUGCAAGCAAGAGCCAACCAACGUCAUCUGCUGCCAAUAGAAAAUCUCCAUGCCAGACCUUACCCUUGGCAUGAGGUAAAAUUGUAACUGAGGCUGUGAGGAGGAAUCAACAGGAAAAAUCCAAUUCAUGCUCAAAGGUAAACUUUGGCCAGGGAAUAACAAGCAUGAAAGUAAAACAUAUGCUUUUCCUUACCUUGUGUAUUGUUUAAUUUCCUCCUGUUUUCUUUGCUUUGCACCAUUUCAGUAGCAGUGCAGGCAGGCUUGAAGUAUGGAAAUAUGCUUAGGAUGACUGUGCUUUAAAUUCCAGCUGUUUUAAUAGCUUGCCUAGCAUGAACUCCUCUUGUGGUGACUGCUUUAAUUUCUAUUUUAUGUUUGUAAAGAGCAUUGCCUAGAAGGAGGAGGUUUCUGUUUUCAGGAAUAAAAAGAAGA
rnacentral:lncRNA from 1 species